rnacentral:rRNA from 1 species
UAACUGAAGAGUUUGAUCAUGGCUCAGAUUGAACGCUGGCGGCAGGCUUAACACAUGCAAGUCGAGCGGGGAAAGGUAGCUUGCUAC